GACGAACGCUGGCGGCGUGCUUAACACAUGCAAGUCGAACGGAAAGGCCCUGCUUUUGUGGGGUGCUCGAGUGGCGAACGGGUGAGUAACACGUGAGUAACCUGCCCUUGACUUUGGGAUAACUUCAGGAAACUGCGGCUAAUACCGGAUAGGAGCUCCUGCUGCAUGUUGUGGGUUGGAAAGUUUCGGCGGUUGUGGAUGUACUCGCGGCUUAUCCGCUUGUUGGUGGGGUAGUGGCUUACCAAGGCUUUGACGGGUAGCCGGCCUGAGAGGGUUGCCGGCGACAAUGGGACUGAGAGACGGCCCAGAAGCCUACGGGAGGCAACAGUGGAGAGUAUUGCAGAGUGGGCGGAAGCCUGAGGCAGAAACGCCGGGUGCGGGAUGACGGCCUUCGGGUUGUAAACCGCUUUCGCCUGUGACGAAGAGGGAGUGACGGUAAUGGGUAAAGAAGCAACGGCUAACUACGUG
rnacentral:rRNA from 1 species